CCAAUGUGAGUUUUGAGAGUAUAAGUAGAGAGUUUCAAAUUUAGAUAGAUGCGGUGUUAGACUUGAUUACAUAUUUGGUGUCAGGAGCAGGGCGAUGAGUGUUGUUGUUGUUGUUGUUUUGAGGAGUGACCAGUGCUAGUUCCCAACCGGAUCCACCGGUUUCUAUUAAGCUUAAACUAUUGGAUGGACCUGGAGCUUCAUGACCUGUAGAGACCAAUAACAGAGCCAACGCAUUGCGGUCUUCUAUCUCUGUGGCUUUCGGGUUUAUCUCACUCAGGCCCUGUGAAGUAGAAAAGAGGGGUCAAGGGGGUUUGAGAGUUUAGCCAAAAGAGAUGUCAAUACACAUUAAGACAGUAUGUAGAAAGAAGAUUCACCAGCAAGUCAUCCGUGUCUAUCAAGAAAGAAGGUUUAGUAUCUUCUUCUUCUAUUUGUUCUUUCUCCUCUUCUUCGAUAAGCGGCUGGUCUCCUUCAGUGUUUUCAGUUUGACUUUCGGUUUCUGCAGGUUCUUCAGGCUGAGCAGACUGUUCUUCUUCAUCUUGUUCUUCUUCCUCCUCUUUUUCAUAAUACUCCUGUUAGAACAGCAAAUGCCAACCAUAAAGAAACUUGCUAAUAGGCUUCAACAAUAUCUGUGGUGAGAUAAGACUCUGUACCAGCUUUUUCUGUACAGAACCACUUUGAGGCGCUUCUUUAAUGUAUUCUUCCAUUGUUGCAAGAAAAGACGGAGGAGGCUGAAUCAAGUUUUACAUAUUAGGUCUUUUGAGUUGAUCAAUCUCAUAUCAUAAACACACAAAAAAAUGGUUUUAGAGUGAACCUGUCUCAAUGUUGGGAACUGAAAGUUCCUUGCCAGCUCUAGACUUUUGCAGUGUUCAUAAAAAUCAGCCAGGUUUUCAGCCUGUGCAGUGAAAAACCUUUUAACAUUCAAGCUUAUAAAAUAUUGAUACUAAGUG